CCUACGGGGUGCAGCAGUGGGGAAUAUUGGACAAUGGGCGAAAGCCUGAUCCAGCCAUGCCGCGUGUGUGAAGAAGGCCUUCGGGGUGUAAAGCACUUUCAGUGGGGAAGAAAGCCUUGGGGCUAAUACCCUCGAGGAAGGACAUCACCCACAGAAGAAGCACCGGCUAACUCCGUGCCAGCAGCCGCGGUAAUACGGAGGGUGCGAGCGUUAAUCGGAAUUACUGGGCGUAAAGCGCGCGUAGGCGGUCUGAUAAGCCGGUUGUGAAAGCCCCGGGCUCAACCUGGGAACGGCAUCCGGAACUGUCAGGCUAGAGUGCAGGAGAGGAAGGUAGAAUUCCCGGUGUAGCAGUGAAAUGCGUAGAGAUCGGGAGGAAUACCAGUGGCGAAGGCGGCCUUCUGGACUGACACUGACGCUGAGGUGCGAAAGCGUGGGUAGCAAACAGGAUUAGAUACCCUUGUAGUC
rnacentral:rRNA from 1 species